CCUACGGGAGGCAGCAGUGGGGAAUUUUGGACAAUGGGCGAAAGCCUGAUCCAGCAAUGCCGCGUGAGUGAAGAAGGCCUUCGGGUUGUAAAGCUCUUUUGUCAGGGAAGAAACGGUGAGAGCUAAUAUCUUUUGCUAAUGACGGUACCUGAAGAAUAAGCACCGGCUAACUACGUGCCAGCAGCCGCGGUAAUACGUAGGGUGCAAGCGUUAAUCGGAAUUACUGGGCGUAAAGCGUGCGCAGGCGGUUUUGUAAGUCUGAUGUGAAAUCCCCGGGCUCAACCUGGGAAUUGCAUUGGAGACUGCAAGGCUAGAAUCUGGCAGAGGGGGGUAGAAUUCCACGUGUAGCAGUGAAAUGCGUAGAUAUGUGGAGGAACACCGAUGGCGAAGGCAGCCCCCUGGGUCAAGAUUGACGCUCAUGCACGAAAGCGUGGGGAGCAAACAGGAUUAGAUACCCUGGUAGUCCACGCCCUAAACGAUGUCUACUAGUUGUCGGGUCUUAAUUGACUUGGUAACGCAGCUAACGCGUGAAGUAGACCGCCUGGGGAGUACGGUCGCAAGAUUAAAACGUCAAAGGAAUUGACGGCUGAGAGNGCGACGGACGACGACGAGGGAGGAGG
rnacentral:rRNA from 1 species